ACCCUGGCAGGUUGGGCAAGGUCAUCCAGGACCAUCAGGAGGCGCAUGCAUCCCAGUGCAACAAGACUCUCACUUCCGCACAUGCUCACUUCAACAAGAGCAACAGAAAGCAGAGUGGACAGGGAGGGAGAGAGGGCAGCAGGCGCCCCUUUAGAGCGCCCUCUGGAAGACAUGCCCUGGAUGCCAGCAGAGAGAAGCACAGAUGACAAGGACCUAAAGCCUAAAGCGGGGCCUCCGACAGCGAGUGGACAGACCCUUCAUCGGGACAGACCCAAGAAUAAAAAUACAAAUUCUCGAAUAAUCUAGACACCAAAAAUAAUUUGAUUGAAUAACUAAUGAUACAUUAUUGAAUAAUAAUUUGAUUACAUAAAUAAAUAAUAAAUAUUUAUUAAGA